AGUGGGGAAUAUUGGACAAUGCACGGAAGUGUGAUCCAGCGACGCCGCGUGAAGGAAGAAGUCCUUCGGGAUGUAAACUUCUGAACUUACAGAAUAACAGCAUAGGGGUACCUAUGCAUGAAGGUAAGUAAGGAAAAGCCCCGGCUAACUACGUGCCAGCAGCCGCGGUAAGACGUAGGGGGCGAGCGUUGCCCGGAAUCACUGGGCGUAAAGGGGGCGUAGGCGGUCUCAAAAGUCAGGUGUGAAAUGUCACUGCUCAACGGUGUCAGUGCGCAUGAAACUGUGAGACUUGAGGGGACCAGAGGUAGACGGAAUUACCUGAGUAGGGGUGAAAUCCGUAGAUACAGGUAAGAACGCCAGUGGGGAAGCCGGUCUACUGGGGUGACCCUGACGCUGAGGCCCGAAAGCUAGGGGAGCGAACCGGAUUAGAUACCCGGGUAGUCCUAGCAGUAAACGAUGCUCACUAGGUGUGGGGCAAGAAAGCUCCGUGCUGAAGCAAACGCGAUAAGUGAGCCGCCUGGGGAGUACGCCCGCAAGGGUG
rnacentral:rRNA from 1 species